GGCUCUGUGGCUUUGUGGGUUAAAGUACUUGUCUGGCAAACAGGAGAUGCUGGGUGUCAUUCCCCAGCAGGGCCU
rnacentral:tRNA from 1 species